GAACCGGAAGCCGGGUUACG
rnacentral:snRNA from 1 species